CCCAAGGGUAUGGCUGUUCGCCAUUUAAAGUGGUACGCGAGCUGGGUUUAGAACGUCGUGAGACAGUUCGGUCCCUAUCUGCCGUGGGCGCUGGAGAAUUGAGGGGGGCUGCUCCUAGUACGAGAGGACCGGAGUGGACGCAUCACUGGUGUUCGGGUUGUCAUGCCAAUGGCACUGCCCGGUAGCUAAAUGCGGAAGAGAUAAGUGCUGAAAGCAUCUAAGCACGAAACUUGCCCCGAGAUGAGUUCUCCCUGACUCCUUGAGAGUCCUGAAGGAACGUUGAAGACGACGACGUUGAUAGGCCGGGUGUGUAAGCGCAGCGAUGCGUUGAGCUAACCGGUACUAAUGAACCGUGAGGCUUAACCUU
rnacentral:rRNA from 1 species